rnacentral:rRNA from 1 species
AAGAGGGGGACCUUCGGGCCUCUUGCCAUCGGAUGUGCCCAGAUGGGAUUAGCUAGUAGGUGGGGUAACGGCUCACCUAGGCGACGAUCCCUAGCUGGUCUGAGAGGAUGACCAGCCACACUGGAACUGAGACACGGUCCAGACUCCUACGGGAGGCAGCAGUGGGGAAUAUUGCACAAUGGGCGCAAGCCUGAUGCAGCCAUGCCGCGUGUAUGAAGAAGGCCUUCGGGUUGUAAAGUACUUUCAGCGGGGAGGAAGGGAGUAAAGUUAAUACCUUUGCUCAUUGACGUUACCCGCAGAAGAAGCACCGGCUAACUCCGUGCCAGCAGCCGCGGUAAUACGGAGGGUGCAAGCGUUAAUCGGAAUUACUGGGCGUAAAGCGCACGCAGGCGGUUUGUUAAGUCAGAUGUGAAAUCCCCGGGCUCAACCUGGGAACUGCAUCUGAUACUGGCAAGCUUGAGUCUCGUAGAGGGGGGUAGAAUUCCAGGUGUAGCGGUGAAAUGCGUAGAGAUCUGGAGGAAUACCGGUGGCGAAGGCGGCCCCCUGGACGAAGACUGACGCUCAGGUGCGAAAGCGUGGGGAGCAAACAGGAUU